rnacentral:rRNA from 1 species
CCUACGGGAGGCUGCAGUGGGGAAUAUUGCGCAAUGGAGGAAACUCUGACGCAGCAACGCCGCGUGAGUGAUGAAGGUCUUCGGAUUGUAAAGCUCUGUCUUCAGGGACGAUAAUGACGGUACCUGAGGAGGAAGCCACGGCUAACUACGUGCCAGCAGCCGCGGUAAUACGUAGGUGGCAAGCGUUGUCCGGAUUUAUUGGGCGUAAAGCAUGCGUAGGCGGAUACUUAAGUGGGAUGUGAAAACCCGGGGCUCAACUCCGGACCUGCAUUCCAAACUGGGUGUCUAGAGUACAGGAGAGGAAAGGGGAAUUCCUAGUGUAGCGGUGAAAUGCGUAGAGAUUAGGAAGAACACCAGUGGCGAAGGCGCCUUUCUGGACUGUAACUGACGCUGAGGCAUGAAAGCGUGGGUAGCAAACAGGAUUAGAUACCCCAGUAGUC